CCUACGGGGGGCAGCAGUGAGGAAUAUUGGUCAAUGGGCGAGAGCCUGAACCAGCCAAGUCGCGUGAGGGAGUACUGCCCUAUGGGUUGUAAACCUCUUUUGUCGGGGAGCAAAAGCCGGACGUGUCCGGCUGUGAGCGUACCCGAAGAAAAAGCCUCGGCUAACCCCGUGCCAGCAGCCGCGGUAAUACGGAGGAUGCGAGCGUUAUCCGGAUUUAUUGGGUUUAAAGGGUGCGCAGGCGGAUUGUUAAGUCAGCGGUAAAAUCGUGGGGCUCAACCCCAUCCAGCCGUUGAAACUGGGGAUCUAGAGUGUGCGAGAGGUAUGCGGAAUGCGUGGUGUAGCGGUGAAAUGCAUAGAUAUCACGCAGAACCCCGAUUGCGAAGGCAGCAUACCGGUGCACAACUGACGCUCAGGCACGAAAGCGUGGGUAUCGAACAGGAUUAGAUACCCCAGUAGUC
rnacentral:rRNA from 1 species